rnacentral:lncRNA from 1 species
AUCACGAGGCUGGGUGGGAUUGGGAUGGAUCGGAAGAAAGAAGGAGGCGCGGCUCGAGCAGCGGAUGUUAUCCUUUCAGAUUCAGAUUGAAAACUACAUGGAAACCAUCAUGGCGUCAUUCUUGUUCAGCGAUUAAACGCUUGGAUCCGCCGCUUGCAGAGCCAACACCGUUCCCUUCUCUUACCCCCAUGACCUCGAACAAAAAUCAUAUGGGGCGGGCACUACAAAAUAUCACAUGGGGCGGGUUUCAUGGUUUGCCUACAACGCAAUCCUCAGACGACCGAAAAGGAUUGAUUUUGGUAGGAGAGAAGGGGCCUUCAGAUCCCAUCACGAGGCAGGGUGGGAUUGGGAUGAAUCGGGAGAAAGAAGAAGGUGGCGCGGCUCGAGCAGCGGAUAUUAUUCUUUGGGAUUCAGAUUGAAAACUACAUGGAAACCAUCAUGGUGGGAUUCUUCUUCAGCGAUUAAACGCUUGGAGUUUAGUUUUCGUCUCCACACGGCCGAUCCGCCGCUUCCAGAGCCAACACCGUUCCCUUCUCUUUCCCCCAUGACCUCCCCCCAAAACCCUAACAAAAAAAAAAAAGAGAAAUUCUUUGUGCACCGCCUGCGGUGGAGCAAAUAUGACGUGCCUCUUAGCCGUCGAGAGAAGAGGCCUUCAGAUCCCAUCACGAGGGGGUAAGAAGAAGUAGGCGCCGCUCGAGCAGCGGAUCUGGGCGGAUCUUAUUCUCUGGGAUUCAGAUUGAAAACUACAUGGAAACCAUCAUAGUGGGAUUCUUCUUCAGCGAUUAAACGCUUGGAG